GAUGGCUGGCAAUGCUCAACACAUACCUGGACCUGAUGCACAGGAGGGAUGCACCUCUGGCUUCACCACACUACAGUACUCAGCAAGUCAAAGUUCAUCCGCUCGUUGUCCGGGUUUGAUGGGGGGGGGGGGGUCACUGUUUCAUCUGCAACACGGGUUUCUUUCAGCACGAAGCAGCAGUCGCUAAUUUAAUAAUAAGGCGUGGAAACGAUGCCAUAAUUAAGACGUAUGCAUCCAAAGUCAGCAAAUGAUUUCCCCUCCGUCGCCGUUUACUUGGCCCCUCGGCAGAGGAAGGGAUGCGGGUGCGACAUGUAUAGAUGACAAGCAGUAUAACAUGAUAAAUCCAUGAGAGUGUUACAGAUCAGCCGCCGUGUUUCUUCCUGUGUUUACAAAAUCUGGCCACAUUGUUGCGCCCGAGAACCACGCGCUGGAUUUCCUCAAUCCACUGAAAAGGCCAAAGUAUCUAUGGCAACGUUAAAAUGUCCUUGAAUAUCCAAGCUGCCCUCGCAGGAUCUGGUGGUCGGGCUGGUGCUGGGAGAGGUAAUAUAACGCCGAAGAGCUCAACACAGCGACUGUCGCUUCCGUCUACAGAACCGGGAAGAGUGAAGAGACACCAGAUGAGGAGUACUCGCCAUCAUCAACUUGGGCUGUAUGUGGGCCCUGAACUGAAAUGAGUUUGACGCUCCUGAUGUACAGUAUGCCUGGCCCUUCUGAAAUGUACAUACAUCACGGCAGCACAACCACGUUGGGAACUUUAUUCUGAAGAAAUAGUCGCUUGAUUUCCGGUCUUUGUCUUUCAUGUUGGGCUUGACAAAGCUGAGACUCGUAUAACUAUUUAGCUGAGAGGUUCUGAUAGUGUUGCGCCUCCUGCUGGAUGAGUGUAUGGUCUCAAAUUGAUAAUAAGAAUGAUAAACAUAUUUCCCCUAGA